rnacentral:tRNA from 1 species
GCCCAGGUGGCUCAGUGGUUUGGUGCCGCCUUCAGCCCAGGAUGUGAUCCUGGAGACCCGGGAUCGAGUCCCGCCUUGGGCU